GUAGUCUAGGCUGACCUGGAAAUUAUAUUCAGGGCUGACCUUAAACUUCAACUCCUGAAAAAAAAUUAAGCCCUGAGCAUUUUAUCCUUGGCUAACCCUGCUAAUUCCUCCUGCCUGCCCCACUCCUCAGAGGGCAGCUACUUGGGGUUCCCUGUUGCUCCAUCUCUUCCAUUUCUUCAGAGAAACAGCUUGAGAGCUCCGUUUAAUCCAGUCACUGACUAUGCAUGACAUGGCUGGUCACCAGGCAGAGUGACAGACCCUGAAGCAAGCAGCUGCUCUCUGAAUGGAUUGGUGCAGAGCCUGCAGGGCUAGAUGGGCACAGCCUCCCCACCUCCACACCGACUUGCAUGCAAAGGAUCCAGAGAGAUGGUCUGUGAAGAACAUUUCUGUAAGGACACAUGCUGUCCAAGAUACCAGCAAAUCAGAGUGACUGGCAUUUUCGGCUGUAGCAAACGUGGCUCAGUGGUGAAGAACAUGGACUUUGAGGCCAGAGUCCUGAUGACAUUUACCUUGGUGGCUUGGCAGGUA
rnacentral:lncRNA from 1 species